AGAGGGCCAGAUGCAGUGGCUCAUGCCUGUAAUCCCAGCACUUUGGGAGGCCGAGGUGGGCGGAUCACCUGAGGUCAGCCUGACCAACACGGUGAAGCCCUGUCUCUACUAAUAAUACAAAAAUUAGCUGGGCGUGGUGGCCUGCACCUGUAAUCCCAGCUACUUGGGAGGCUGAGGCGGGAGAAUCGCCAGAACCUGGGAGGCAGAGGUUGCGGUGAGUUGAGAUCACCCCAUUCCACCCCAGCCUGGGCGACAAGAGCGAAACUCCAUCUCCGAAAAAAGAAACCGCAGAGUUCAUGUGAGCGCAGCAUGCGAUGACUGGUCUGGGAAGAACUGGCCAUUCCUUCGGCCUCCUGGCCCCUUGGUGCUGUCUGGCCCAGUGUCCACAGUUCCAGGGCUGUAGUGACAGCUUUUUAUCAUUACAGGUGUAGGUGGAGCUUUUGCUGGAAUCCCAGGAGUUGGACCCUUUGGGGGACCGCAACCUGGAGUCCCACUGGGGUAUCCCAUCAAGGCCCCCAAGCUGCCUGGUGGCUAUGGACUGCCCUACACCACAGGGAAACUGCCCUAUGG
rnacentral:sRNA from 1 species